rnacentral:rRNA from 1 species
AUUGAACGCUGGCGGCAUACCUAAUACAUGCAAGUCGAACGAGUGGCGGACGGGCGAGUAAUUUCUGGGAAACUGCCUGAUGGAGGGGGAAAACUACUGGAAACCGUAGCUAAUACCGCUUACCAUCAGAUGUGCCCAGGUGGGUUUAGCUUGUUGGUGUGGUAACGGCUAACAAAGGCGACGAUCCCUAGCUGGUCUGCGAGGAUGACCAGCCACACUGGGACUGAGACACGUUCCAGACUCCUACGGGAGGCAGCAGUGGGGAAUAUUCCACAAUGGGCGCAAGCCUGAUGCAGCCAUGCCGCGUGAAUGAAGAAGGCCUUCGGGUUGUAAAGUACUGUCAGCGGGGAGGCGGUACCCGCAGAAGAAGCAACGGCUAACUCCGUGCCAGCAGCCGCGGUAAUAC